CAAUAGCGUAUAUUAAAGUUGUUGCGGUUAAAAAGCUCGUAGUUGGAUCUCGGCAGGCAGGGGGUGGUUCGCUCUUAGCGCUACUGCCCCAUUUGCCUGUGUGAUUGGCGGAGGUUUCGGGGUGCUCUUCGUUGAGUGACUCGGGGCGCCGUCAGGUUUACUUUGAAAAAAUUAGAGUGCUCAAAGCAGGCUAUUCACGCUUGAAUAUUCGUGCAUGGAAUAAUGGAAUAGGAACUCGUUUCUAUUUUGUUGGUUUUCGGAAAUCGAGUUAAUGAUUAAUAGGGACAAUUGGGGGCAUUAGUAUUCAGACGACAGAGGUGAAAUUCUUGGACCGUCUGAAGACUAACUACUGCGAAAGCAUUUGCCAAGAGUGUUUUCAUUAA
rnacentral:rRNA from 1 species